rnacentral:rRNA from 1 species
UAAGGAAUAUUGGACAAUGGAGGCAACUCUGAUCCAGCCAUGCCGCGUGAAGGAAUAAGGCCCUAUGGGUUGUAAACUUCUUUUAGACGGGACAAAACCCCUUUACGUGUAAAGGGUUGAUGGUACUGUCAGAAUAAGCAUCGGCUAACUUCGUGCCAGCAGCCGCGGUAAUACGAAGGAUGCAAGCGUUAUCCGGAAUUAUUGGGUUUCAAGGGUGCGUAGGCGGACUAAUAAGUCAGUGGUGAAAGCCUGCAGCUUAACUGCAGAAUUGCCAUUGAUACUGUUAGUCUUGAGUACAGUUGAGGUAGGCGGAAUGUGUCAUGUAGCGGUGAAAUGCUUAGAUAUGACACAGAACACCGAUUGCGAAGGCAGCUUGCUAAGCUGUAACUGACGCUGAGGCACGAAAGCGUGGGGAGCAAACA